rnacentral:rRNA from 1 species
UACGUAGGGAGCAAGCGUUGUCCGGAAUCAUUGGGCGUAAAGCGCGCGUAGGUGGCUUCGUAAGUCCGUUGUGAAAGUCAAAGGCUCAACCUUUGAAAGCCGAUGGAUACUGUCGAGCUAGAGUCCGGAAGAGGCGAGUGGAAUUCCUGGUGUAGCGGUGGAAUGCGCAGAUAUCAGGAGGAACACCAACGGCGAAGGCAGCUCGCUGGGACGGUACUGACGCUAAGGCGCGAAAGCGUGGGGAGCGAACAGG